rnacentral:rRNA from 1 species
CACGUAGGAGGCGAGCGUUGUCCGGAAUUAUUGGGCGUAAAGAGCUCGUAGGCGGUCUGUCACGUCGGCUGUGAAAACCCGAGGCUCAACCUCGGGCCUGCAGUCGAUACGGGCAAACUAGAGUGUUGCAGGGGAGACUGGAAUUCCUGGUGUAGCGGUGAAAUGCGCAGAUAUCAGGAGGAACACCGGUGGCGAAGGCGGGUCUCUGGGCAACAACUGACGCUGAGGAGCGAAAGCGUGGGGAGCGAACAGG